rnacentral:rRNA from 1 species
GUGUCAGCAGCCGCGGUAAUACGUAGGCAGCGAGCGUUGUUCGGAAUUACUGGGCGUAAAGAGUGUGUAGGCGGUGCUCUAAGUCUGUCGUGAAAUCUCCCGGCUUAACUGGGAGGGUGCGGCGGAAACUGGUGUGCUCGAGGGUGGGAGAGGUAAGCGGAAUUCCUGGUGUAGCGGUGAAAUGCGUAGAUAUCAGGAGGAACACCUGCGGUGUAGACAGCUUACUGGACCACUUCUGACGCUGAGACACGAAAGCGUGGGUAGCAAACAGGAUUAGAAACCCGCGUAGUCC